UCACAUUACAAUUCGAAACAAUAUAUAACAUGGGAUGGACAGAAAAUUAGUACUCAUAAUAUAUGUUGUUUUGUUUAGUGAAUAGCUAACUAUAAAUUUUGAAGAACAACACUCCACGGAUCAAACAACCAUAAAAAUUACAACUAGAAGAAUCCAAUGGUUCACCCAUCGCUACUGUUAUAAAUCUUUACGACAGAAAGUGUAGAUAACAAAUUUACAUGGCGCACAUUCAAGAACUGGUGUCCGAAUGUCAAUAUUCCGAGUACCACAUCUGCCACACGAGACAUUCUUCAUUUUAUUUUGAACAAAUGUGAGGUGGUGUUGGUGCAAAUUGUCAACUUCAAUGGUAGCCCCAAACUUGACAUUUGAGUAAACAUCAUCACGAAGGAGACAUCUAACAUGAAAGGACAUAUCACAAUUGCGACAAUGAUAGAACCAAUAAUUCGGAUUUAUAUAUAUUGAGCACACUUCACAAUCGAAUUCAUGUGGAUGAUUUUUGACUGGCGGAUACAUCAAGUGGAGUGGAUGUCGGUCCCAUCUGUGCCUGACCGUACAUGGUAUAAUAGCUCGCCUUUUACUUAGGUAAAAAUUGCAAGUUUCACAUCCAAAUCCGAAACCUGAAUAUUUAUACUCACUUGCACUGCAGUCCAAGAUUUUAAGUUGCUUAAGGGGGUGUGUGUGAGCUUCAUGUUUGAUCUUAUUGGGCAGUGAAGCACACACGAUAUCGAUGUAGAAAUUGCAAAGCUCACAAUAAUAGAAUAUGCCGUUGCAAUACUUUUGGCAAAAAUGACAUUUAAAGAAAUGAUAACGAGCAAGAUAUUGAUUUGGAACAAGCUUGUGUUCUGGGUGAGAUAGAUGUUGCAACUCUUUUGGUAGCUCGGCACAAUAUUUGUGCAGAAAGUAUUUACAUUGCAGACAACCAUAGAAUGGAUCGUCGGUGAGAGGUUGCACACACCCGUCACAUAGCAUUACCUCAUUUUUCAUCUCGUUAUUAUUUCUUUUAAAUUCAUGAAAAAGGACAAGUGGAUGAUCUUUAUGUGCCCAAUGAUUGAUAUAAUCAUCUGUUGUUGUAUAGGUAUCAUCUGUAAGACUAAUGGCCUUGACAAAUUGGUGUAUUAAUAAACCAAGUGAGGCUUCAUCAGGUAAUGGUAAGUGCAUCAAAUUAGGCUCAUCGAGAUCACCGCCUUCAUAAAUAUUCUCAUUCUGACUACAUUUGAAACCAAUAAAAAAAGAAAGUUUAAAUAAGAAUCUUUAGCAAGUAGAAAGAAGCCAAGUUAGAAUGAACAAAAAUCACAGAAAAUAAAAAUAUGAUGGGAAUUCGAAGAUAAUGAACCUCAGCUUUGCCGUCUUUGUUGAAGUAGCACAUUUGAUGUGGGCAAAAAAUCUACAAUCAGCACAAUAAUAAAUCCAAUAGCUCGGAACAAGUUUUGUGUUGCAUAUACUACAAUUUUGCCAGAAACUACGAUAUUGUUCGGGAAGAGAAUAGGCUAGGACAAGAGGGUGAUCUUCGUGAAAUUGACAUUUGAGGGUGGUUGUUGCGGAGGCACAACUCUUGUGUAACCAGAAUAGACAGGUGGUACAAAAGUAGGAUAAAUCUUUAUCUUCUGUGCAGCAAGCAUCACAGCUGAACAAGGCUUCCUUAGUCAUUAAAGUUAAUGGGUGAUUGUGGGAUUCAUGAUGAAAUCUGCGAUCCUGCAAAGCACAUGUCAAACAAACGUCAAACUCACAACUUACACACCGAUAGGUGAACCACUUCCAAUCCAUGCGGCAGACAUCACAAAUGCAGGUACGGCGUGAAUGAAGAGUAAGAGGGUGAUCUUGGUGCCUAGGAUAUUCAAGUUCUUGGGGCAAUUCCGCACAUGUUUUGUGUAGAAAGAAAUUGUCACAAUCACCUUGGGUUGUAUUAUCAAUGGUAUGACUACUAGUGCUGCAGCUAUAUGCUGAUUCACCGAUGAGUAUUGAUUUAUUGCACCCACAACAAUUAACAUCCUCCUGAGCAUGAUCCUCAACGUUGAGGAUCAACGGAUGCUCAUGGCUAAAGUGUUGAAGUUGCUCCAUCUCAAUACGUGGGUACGGUUAAAAUUAAGACAAGGAUAUAAAGAGAAGAGGAUUACAAUUGGCAAGAGAAUUGUGAAAAUUUUAACACCAAGAACUCAUCAUAUAAAGCAAAGUCUACCACCAAGUCUUUGUACAUAUAUGUAUAUAGGACAAAUUGUAUUUAUCUUGAACACAAAAAAGAUGGUUUGAAAAAUGAUAUGUAAUUAGAAAAUGAAAAGUAAUAUGUGAAAGAGAAAGAGAGAAAUAGAGAGAUGAAAAUUGGGAAGCUGAUAUGUAAUUAUCUAGUCUUUGUUUAUGUUCUUCAAAUAUAUUACAGAUAUUUAAUAUAAAAUAUUUUUCCUGUUUGAUCACGCAGAUCAAAAAAUUAGAUAAACAAAUAGAAAACUUGAUCACAAAAGUCCAUUUUGAUUGGACAUUAAAACCACUUGUAAUACAAUAUUAAAGUGUGAAAAUGUGUGAAAAAGAUUGCAUUAAUUAAAUAACUUUGAUUGGACAUUAAAACCACUUGUAAUACAAUAUUGAAGUGUGAAAAUGUGUGAAAUAGAUUCCAUUAAUUAAAUACUGUGUUGUGAUUAAGAAACCUUACCAAUUACGAAACUUGAUGAAUAUAGAACUUGCUUUGAUUUAGCAUCACUAUAUUUUACUGUUGGAGUCACAUCUAUGUUUACACCAACUAAUUACUUAUAUUAUAAAUUCCUUCCAAGUCUAAUUACUGUUAGUUUUAUAUAUUUGUAAUUUUAAUGAUUACAAUAUACAUAAGUAUAUGAGUUAUUAAAUGGGCUGAAUUGAAUUUGUGAUGGUUAAAUAUGGUGGAAUGCAGCGAUUAUAUUUUGGGCUAAUUGAAUAAAUGAUGAUAUAGUUAAUUUGGAUAAAUUGUUUUUUUUUCUCGUCCAAAGAGUUUUACAGCAACUUGGUUUUCGUUUAUUGCUGGUAAUAUCUUCUCUAAUAUAUACUUUUAAAACAGUUUGGUCUGUUUAAGCUAUGAAACCAAUUCAAUUGUGGAUUGGAGAUUUUCAAGGAGUUGUUCAAGCUAAGAAAUAUGUGUGUAAUUUGAAUUGCAGUUUUUCUUUCAGCUAUUAAAGGUGAUUAACGUAAGGACUUUAACAACCUUAUAUUUGGAUAUCACUACACCAAAAAUAGCAUCUAGUGACGGACAAAUCCUUCGCAAAACAUAAUAUAUCACUCACAAGACAUUUAUUGCGAAAAAAUAUUUCCUUCACACGAUUGCUCGCAUACGACCUCCUCACAAUUCUCACAAUAUAAUUGGGUAUCAUUCGCUAAGUAGUAACUAAAUACUUUUUGUGAAGGAUAUAUUGUGAAUAAUUUUUUAUUCACAAAUUAUAUUUUGUAAUGGAAUAUUAUUAUUUAGUGAAAGAUUGGUUUCCUUCAUGAAUAAUAUUUUAAGAAUGACUAUUUGAAAUUAGUGAAUAACUUUAUUCCCUCACAAAUAACAUAUUGUGAAGAACAAAUUUAUUUAACGAGAGAAAAUUUUCCUUCACUAAUUAUAAUUUGAGAAUCUUUCUUCAAUUUAGUGAGAGAAAAAUUCCUUCACAAAUUAUAAUUUUGUAAAUAAAAAAUUAUUUGCUAAAUAAUCAAAAUUCAUUAGAAAUUAUAAUUGAUUUUCAAAUCGAUGAUUUUAUAUUUUUUAUUAUUAUUAUUAUUCUCUAGAAGAAACAUUAAAUUUAAUAUUUUAAGUAAAUAAAAUAAUAUUUUCAUACUUGUUUCAAACUAAUUGAUAAGUUAAUGCAUAAAGAGCUAAUAAAAUCAAUACUCACAUAUAAAUAGAUAAUACUCGAGUCACGAUAACUAUAAAGUUUGUUAUUGUAUCUUGGUCUCCCAAAGACCGUAGUACCUAUAAAAUUUAUUAACUUAACAAAACUGUAUGAAUAACAACGAACUAGAAUGAAUAAAGUGUGUUAUGUUACGUCCACUUCAUCAUCAUUUUCUUUAAGAAAAUCAAGAUUGGGCCUGUAAACUUCAUGCUGCAAGAGAAACACUGAAAUUUAAUUUUAAUGAGAUGAGGAAUAAGAAAAAAUGAAACUGGUGAACUUAAAUCGAGAGAGAGAUUAAUGAAGGAUAAAGACAAAAAUAUAACUAUGAGUAAACACCUCAAUUGAUUCAUAGUUGUUAAAUGCCAUCAAUCACGAUUCUAACCUGUUUAAAAAUGACACAAACCUAAGGAAAACUGAAAGAAAAUUAUAAAAUUAAACUUUAUGUAGAAAAAUUCUAGAACGUACUGGCAGAUGUAACAUGUCACAAAGUUGAGUCCAAGUUGUCCACUCUUCUAAUGCAUGUUUCUGAGCAACAUUGCACACAAUGGACUUGGUGCAAGGAAUAAACCAUCAAAUGCCACAAACAAUAUAAUGAGACUAAAAAUGUAAAUUAAUCUAGCCAGGUGUAACAAAACAAAGACAAUAGAGCUCAUUGGACAUACCUUGAAAGGUUCAUCACUUUCAAGAUUGCUUCAUGAGCUUUCUACUCUUAUUUAAGAGAGAAAAAACACAUUAGCAUUCACUACUAUUUUAAGUGCGUCUUGUGCAUGGGAAAGAGAUUCAACAAUCUCACUGUCCCCAGAAGUUCCCUCCUCAAAGACCUCAUAAUCUCUAACAGCUUUUACCCAUCUUUCAAGCUACAACUGUUUGGUAAAAUCUAAUUGUAAAUCCACAGAUGAUAGAAUUAAACAAGACACCCUAAUCAAAUCAGAUGAUAAAACCACAGAUGAUAGAAUUGUUCUGUCUCAUAUCCAAGUAUCAGGUUUAUCAAUUUAAAAAGUUAAUUGUAAAUGAAUAGUUAAGUUAAAUUUAGAAACAACAUAUAACAUGGAAUAAAAGAUAAGACAAGAAUGAAUAGAAUAUUUUGACUAUCAAAUAAUUACACUUCUAUACGACAUGGCGAGCAAAUUACAAACUUACAGGGAGCACAUUCAAGAAUUAGUGUCCCAAUGCGAAUAUCUCCAGUACCACAUCUACCACACGAGGCUUUCUUCAUUUUAUUUUGAACAAAUGUGAGGUGGUGGGGGUGCACAUUAUCAAUUUUAACGGUAUCCCCAAAUUUGAUAUUUGAGAAAACAUCAUCAAGAAGGAGACAUCUAAUAUUAAAGGACAUAUCACAAUCGCGACAAUGAUAGAACCAAUAAUUCAGAUUUAUAUAUAUUGAGCACACUUCGCAAUUGAAUUCAUGUGGAUAAUUUUUGACUGGCGGAUACAUCAAGUGGAGUGGAUGUGGGUUCCAUCUGUGCCUGACUGUACGUGGUAUAAUAGCUCGACUUUUACUUAGGUAAAAAUUGCAAGUUUCAC
rnacentral:lncRNA from 1 species